CCUACGGGUGGCAGCAGUCGAGAAUCAUUCACAAUGGGGGAAACCCUGAUGGUGCGACGCCGCGUGGGGGAAUGAAGGUCUUCGGAUUGUAAACCCCUGUCAUGUGGGAGCAAAUUAAAAAGAUAGUACCACAAGAGGAAGAGACGGCUAACUCUGUGCCAGCAGCCGCGGUAAUACAGAGGUCUCAAGCGUUGUUCGGAAUCACUGGGCGUAAAGCGUGCGUAGGCUGUUUCGUAAGUCGUGUGUGAAAGGCGCGGGCUCAACCCGCGGACGGCACAUGAUAAUGCGAGACUAGAGUAAGGGAGGGGGAACCGGAAUUCUCGGUGUAGCAGUGAAAUGCGUAGAUAUCGAGAGGAACACUCGUGGCGAAGGCGGGUUCCUGGACAUUAACUGACGCUGAGGCACGAAGGCCAGGGGAGCGAAAGGGAUUAGAUACCCGAGUAGUC
rnacentral:rRNA from 1 species